rnacentral:sRNA from 1 species
UGCCUAAACCUUAUUUAAGGCAUGGCAGAAAAACCUUGUAGGAAGUAAGCUCUUCGUCAGAGCGCCCUACAAGGUUAUCAUCCGAAAGGAUGGUAGGUAGCGUAAGCUAUC